rnacentral:rRNA from 1 species
GGGAAACCGGAGCUAAUACCGGAUAGUUCCUUGAACCGCAUGGUUCAAGGAUGAAAGACGGUUUCGGCUGUCACUUACAGAUGGACCCGCGGCGCAUUAGCUAGUUGGUGAGGUAACGGCUCACCAAGGCGACGAUGCGUAGCCGACCUGAGAGGGUGAUCGGCCACACUGGGAUUGAGACACGGCCCAGACUCCUACGGGAGGCAGCAGUAGGGAAUCUUCCGCAAUGGACGAAAGUCUGACGGAGCAACGCCGCGUGAGUGAUGAAGGUUUUCGGAUCGUAAAGCUCUGUUGUUAGGGAAGAACAAGUGCAAGAGUAACUGCUUGCACCUUGACGGUACCUAACCAGAAAGCCACGGCUAACUACGUGCCAGCAGCCGCGGUAAUACGUAGGUGGCAAGCGUUGUCCGGAAUUAUUGGGCGUAAAGGGCUCGCAGGCGGUUUCUUAAGUCUGAUGUGAAAGCCCCCGGCUCAACCGGGGAGGGUCAUUGGAAACUGGGAAACUUGAGUGCAGAAGAGGAGAGUGGAAUUCCACGUGUAGCGGUGAAAUGCGUAGAGAUGUGGAGGAACACCAGUGGCGAAGGCGACUCUCUGGUCUGUAACUGACGCUGAGGAGCGAAAGCGUGGGGAGCGAACAGGAUUAGAUACCCUGGUAGUCCACGCCGUAAACGAUGAGUGCUAAGUGUUAGGGGGUUUCCGCCCCUUAGUGCUGCAGCUAACGCAUUAAGCACUCCGCCUGGGGAGUACGGUCGCAAGACUGAAACUCAAAGGAAUUGACGGGGGCCCGCACAAGCGGUGGAGCAUGUGGUUUAAUUCGAAGCAACGCGAAGAACCUUACCAGGUCUUGACAUCCUCUGACAACCCUAGAGAUAGGGCUUUCCCUUCGGGGACAGAGUGACAGGUGGUGCAUGGUUGUCGUCAGCUCGUGUCGUGAGAUGUUGGGUUAAGUCCCGCAACGAGCGCAACCCUUGAUCUUAGUUGCCAGCAUUCAGUUGGG